rnacentral:rRNA from 1 species
UACGUAGGGGGCGAGCGUUGUCCGGAUUUAUUGGGCGUAAAGAGCGUGUAGGCGGCCAGGUAGGUCCGUUGUGAAAACUCGAGGCUCAACCUCGAGACGUCGGCGGAAACCCUCUGGCUAGAAUUCGGUAGGGGAGACUGGAAUUCCUGGUGUAGCGGUGAAAUGCGCAGAUAUCAGGAGGAACACCGGUGGCGAAGGCGGGUCUCUGGGCCGAUAUUGACGCUGAGGAGCGAAAGCGUGGGGAGCGAACAGG